rnacentral:lncRNA from 1 species
UGUGUUCUAUAGUACAAAAGUUAUGAGACACGAAUCAGACAAAUGUUCACUACAACAGGGAUCAAAGAUGAGGUCUGACUGACUUGCCCAUAGUAAAUGUAAAUGAUUUGUUAUUUUUGUCCCAUACAUAUGAAUAUAUAUAAUUUAGGGGUGGGGAUCUCAACGGUUUUCAAGUUCUCAAACAGGUAGGGGUAGGCAGAGGAUUUAGGGGGCAGGGGGCCCGGCCCCCCCUUUUUGGGAAAAAAUUUGGUUGCUUAUAUAGGGAAUCACUGAAGCGUGACUGGAGCGGGCCCCUCUUAGGUCAGUCAGUGGGCCCCACUUAUGAAAAUUUCUGGAUCCGCCACUGGGGGUAGGGUGACCCUAGGGACUUCCCCUACAUUUCAUUUUAUUUGUUAUAUUUGUCCCAUACAUGAAUAUAUAUGGUUUAGGGGUGGGGAUCUCAUUGGUUUCCAAGUUCUCAAACAGGAAGGGUAGGGUGACCCAAGGGACUCCCCCUAUAUUUCAUUUAAUUAGUUAUAUUGAUCCAUACAUGAAUAUAUAUUGUUUUGGUGUGGGGAUCUCGACCGUUUCCAAGUUCUCAAACAGGAGGGUUGGGAUGACCACAGGGACUUCCCUUAUAUUUCAUUUGAUUUGUUAUAUUGUCCCAUACAUGAGUAUAUAUGGUUUAGGGGUAAGGAUCUUGACCAUUUCCAAGUUCUCAAACAGGAGGGUGAACAGUGACCUCAGGGACUCCCCCUAUCUUUCAUCUGAUUUGUUAUAUUGUCCCAUACAUGAAUAUAUAUGGUUUAGGGAUGGGGAUCUCGACCAUUUUUAAAUUCUAAAACAGGAGGGGUGGGGUGACCCCUAGCGACUCUUCCUAUAUUUCAUUUGAUUUUUCAUAUUGUCACAAACAUGAAUAUAUAUGGUUAAGGGGUGUGGAUCUCGACCGUUUCCAAGUUCUCAAACAGGAGGGGGUGGGGUAACUCCAGGGACUCCCCCUAUAUUUCAUUUUUUAUUUAUUAUAUUGUCCUAUACUUGAAUAUAUGCAGGGGCGGAUUCAGACGGGGAGGGUUGCGGCUUGCACCCCCCUUAAAUUUGCAAAGCAUGGGUUGUUCUCAGCUUAAUAAAGAAAAUUCCGAUAAUUUUACCUCAAUUUUUUUUAGCCUCGCUCUGCUCGGCGAAAAUUUAAGUUUGCGCCCCUCCUAACCUAAAAUCCUGGAUCUGCCCCUCAUAUGGUUAGGGUGGGGCUCGAUUUCCAAGUUCUCAACAGCUUCCCUUAUAUUUCAUUUGAUUUGUUAUAUUGUCCCAUACUGAGUUAUAUGUUUAGGGGUAAAUCUUGACCAUUUCCAAGUUCUCAAACAGGAGGGUGAACAGUGACCUCAGGGACUCCCCCUAUCUUUUCAUCUGAUUUGUUAUAUUGUCCCAUACAUGAAUAUAUAUGGUUUAGGAUGGGAUCUCGACCAUUUUUAAAUUCUAAAACAGGAGGGGUGGGGUGACCCCUAGCGACUCUUCCUAUAUUUCAUUUGAUUUUUUCAUAUUGUCACAAACAUGAAUAUAUAUGGUUAAGGGGUGUGGAUCUCGACCGUUUCCAAGUUCUCAAACAGGAAGGGGUGGGUAACUCCAGGGACUCCCCCUAUAUUUCAUUUUUUUAUUAUAUUGUCCUAUACUUGAAUAUAUGCAGGGGCGGAUUCAGACGGGGGAGGGUUGCGGGCUUGCACCCCCCUUAAAUUUGCAAAGCAUGGGUUGUUCUCAGCUUAAUAAAGAAAAUUCCGAUAAUUUUACCUCAAUUUUUUUUAGCCUCGCUCUGCUCGGCGAAAAUUUAAGUUUGCGCCCCUCCUAACCUAAAAUCCUGGAUCUGCCCCUCAUAUGGUUUAGGGGUGGGGAGCUCGACCGUUUCCAAGUUAUCAAACAGGAGG